rnacentral:lncRNA from 1 species
GAUUGUUAAAAAUGAGUCUGCGGAAGCAAACCCCUAGUGACUUCUUAAAGCAGAUCAUCGGGCGCCCAGUUGUGGUGAAAUUAAACUCUGGCGUGGAUUACCGAGGGGUCCUGGCCUGCCUGGAUGGCUACAUGAAUAUAGCAUUGGAACAGACAGAGGAGUAUGUAAACGGACAGCUGAAGAAUAAGUAUGGAGACGCAUUCAUCCGCGGAAACAAUGGUCUUGAGUAUACACCAGAUCAGUUUUGCUGUACAUAAGUACACAGAAGAGGCGGAUGUGAAGACGCCAGGAGAGAGGCACUGCUCUUCAGCGAUGGAUAUAUGAUCACUCUUAUGAUCUUGGUGGCCUGUUUUUGUGGUGGCUGGUGGGGGUUUUGUUUUCUUUUGUUUUUUUAAUUGACAUCAGAAUAAGAUAGAGGUAUUACAUUACAGAUUGAAUCUUAAGCUUUU